rnacentral:rRNA from 1 species
UCCAGACUCCUACGGGAGGCAGCAGUGGGGAAUAUUGCACAAUGGGCGCAAGCCUGAUGCAGCCGUGCCGCGUGUAUGAAGAAGGCCUUCGGGUUGUAAAGUACUUUCAGCGGGGAGGAAGGCGAUAAGGUUAAUAACCUUGUCGAUUGACGUUACCCGCAGAAGAAGCACCGGCUAACUCCGUGCCAGCAGCCGCGGUAAUACGGAGGGUGCAAGCGUUAAUCGGACUUACUGGGCGUAAAGCGCACGCAGGCGGUCUGUCAAGUCGGAUGUGAAAGCCCCGGGCUCAACCUGGGAACUGCAUUCGAAACUGGCGGGCUGGAGUCUUGUAGAGGGGGGUAGAAUUCCAGGUGGAGCGGUGAAAUGCGUAGAGAUCUGGAGGAAGACCGGUGGCGAAGGCGGCCCCCUGGACAAAGACUGACGCUCAGGGGCGAAAGCGUGGGGAGCAAACAG